GAUGAACGCUAGCGGCAGGCUUAACACAUGCAAGUCGAGGGGUAACAGGAGUAGCUUGCUAUUCGCUGACGACCGGCGCACGGGUGCGUAACGCGUAUAGAAUCUGCCAUGUACAGGAGGAUAGCCUUUAGAAAUGAAGAUUAAUACUCCAUAAUAUAGCAAUUUGGCAUCAAGAUGUUAUUAAAGAUUUAUCGGUACAUGAUGACUAU
rnacentral:rRNA from 1 species